rnacentral:rRNA from 2 species
GCCCCCCUCAAGAUGAGAUUUCCCAAUUAGUAAGACCCCUUGAAGACGACGAGGUAGAUAGGUUGGGGGUGGAAGUGCAGUAAUGCAUGGAGCUGACCAAUACUAAUCGGUCGAGGGCUUAUCCUA